rnacentral:rRNA from 1 species
CAUGCAAGUCGAACGGUAGCACAGAGAGCUUGCUCUCGGGUGACGAGUGGCGGACGGGUGAGUAAUGUCUGGGAAACUGCCUGAUGGAGGGGGAUAACUACUGGAAACGGUAGCUAAUACCGCAUAACGUCGCAAGACCAAAGAGGGGGACCUUCGGGCCUCUUGCCAUCAGAUGUGCCCAGAUGGGAUUAGCUAGUAGGUGGGGUAACGGCUCACCUAGGCGACGAUCCCUAGCUGGUCUGAGAGGAUGACCAGCCACACUGGAACUGAGACACGGUCCAGACUCCUACGGGAGGCAGCAGUGGGGAAUAUUGCACAAUGGGCGCAAGCCUGAUGCAGCCAUGCCGCGUGUAUGAAGAAGGCCUUCGGGUUGUAAAGUACUUUCAGCGAGGAGGAAGGCGAUACGGUUAAUAACCGUGUCGAUUGACGUUACUCGCAGAAGAAGCACCGGCUAACUCCGUGCCAGCAGCCGCGGUAAUACGGAGGGUGCAAGCGUUAAUCGGAAUUACUGGGCGUAAAGCGCACGCAGGCGGUCUGUCAAGUCGGAUGUGAAAUCCCCGGGCUCAACCUGGGAACUGCAUUCGAAACUGGCAGGCUUGAGUCUUGUAGAGGGGGGUAGAAUUCCAGGUGUAGCGGUGAAAUGCGUAGAGAUCUGGAGGAAUACCGGUGGCGAAGGCGGCCCCCUGGACAAAGACUGACGCUCAGGUGCGAAAGCGUGGGGAGC